UACGGGGGGGGCAAGCGUUGUUCGGAAUUACUGGGCGUAAAGGGCUCGUAGGCGGCCAACUAAGUCGGAUGUGAAAUCCCCAGGCUUAACCUGGGAACUGCAUCCGAUACUGGAUGGCUUGAAUCCGGGAGAGGGAUGCGGAAUUCCAGGUGUAGCGGUGAAAUGCGUAGAUAUCGUAAGGAAGACCAGUGGCGAAGGCGGGUCUCUGGACAGUUCCUGACGCUGAGGCACGAAGGUCAGGGGAGCAAACGGG
rnacentral:rRNA from 1 species